UNGCAGAGACUUGGCCGGACACUAUUGA
rnacentral:piRNA from 1 species